GAAUUCCUUUACAGCGUCCGACAUAGCAGAUGAAGUCAACAGCUGCAUCCAAGUUGAAAUACACAGAAACAGGUAUAUAAUAUCUGUUGGUUGUGAUAGACGGAUCAGCAUUUUUGCUGAUCACCAGAAUGGUGCCAGUGGUAUUGAGAAUCUCGGAUCCCAGUGGCUACAUCAAGAG